rnacentral:rRNA from 1 species
GUGGGGAAUAUUGGGCAAUGGGCGCAAGCCUGACCCAGCAACGCCGCGUGAGGGAAGAAGGCUUUCGGGUUGUAAACCUCUGUCCUUGGUGACGAAAAAAAUGACGGUAGCCAAGGAGGAAGCCCCGGCUAACUACGUGCCAGCAGCCGCGGUAAUACGUAGGGGGCGAGCGUUGUCCGGAAUUACUGGGCGUAAAGGGUGCGUAGGUGGCCUUUUAAGUUGGAUGUGAAAUACCCGGGCUUAACUUGGGGGGUGCAUCCAAAACUGGGAGGCUAGAGUGCAGGAGAGGAAAGCGGAAUUCCUAGUGUAGCGGUGAAAUGCGUAGAUAUUAGGAGGAACACCAGUGGCGAAGGCGACUUUCUGGACUGCACCUGACGCUGAGGCGCGAAAGCGUGGGGAGCGAACGGGAUUAGAAACCCGUGUAGUCC